rnacentral:rRNA from 1 species
ACGGAGAGGACCCGGAGUGAAACGAACCACUGGUGUUCCGGUGUUUCGCCAGAAGCAUUGCCGGGUAGCACGUUCGGACGGGAUAAACGCUGAAAGCAUCUAAGCGUGAAGCCUCCUUCAAGAUUAGAUCUCUCUGAUGAAAAUCAGUAAGGAACGUUGGAGACUACGACGUUGAUAGGCUGGGUGUGGAAGUACAGCAAUGUAUGAAGCUUACCAGUACUAAUGAUCCGAGAGACUUAA